rnacentral:lncRNA from 1 species
GGGAGAGUCAAACUGGAUUCCACAGGGAGAGCCUGCAAAUCACUUCUAUUUUAGCAAGGAGAAAACAGAAUCUCCAUCCAGCAGGGUCCACCCCUCUCUUUCUCCCUCUCCUCUCUUUUUCUAUCUCUUUCCCUCCCCCCUUCCUCUUUCCCUCUCUCUCCCCUUCCCCCCCCCCCCUCCGGUGUAUCUGUCUACAGCAACCAGCGUCCUCAUCUACACGCACGGAAAGGAAAGAAACAUCUUUGGUUGAGAGAGGAGGAGGAAAAAAGAGAGAGAAAAAAACUUGCCUGGUUGUGGAAAAUGACACUUCAAGUAGCCAAGCCGGCUUCGAGAGUCGUAUCUAUUGUUUCUUAAAUUGUCAUCAGGGUGGUUUUUUUUCUUCCUGCUUCUUCAAGUGAAGGUACCGCUACAAAAGGAAACUCCAGCCCCUCCUGUUCUCCAACGGCCUGUGAUUACU